GACGAACGCUGGCGGCGUGCUUAACACAUGCAAGUCGAACGGAAAGGCCCUGCUUUUGUGGGGUGCUCGAGUGGCGAACGGGUGAGUAACACGUGAGUAACCUGCCCUUGACUUUGGGAUAACUUCAGGAAACUGGGGCUAAUACCGGAUAGGAGCGCCUGCUGCAUGGGGGGGGUUGGAAAGUUUCGGCGGUUGGGGAUGGACUCGCGGCUUAUCAGCUUGUUGGUGGGGUAGUGGCUUACCAAGGCUUUGACGGGUAGCCGGCCUGAGAGGGUGACCGGCCACAUUGGGACUGAGAUACGGCCCAGACUCCUACGGGAGGCAGCAGUGGGGAAUAUUGCACAAUGGGCGGAAGCCUGAUGCAGCAACGCCGCGUGCGGGAUGACGGCCUUCGGGUUGUAAACCGCUUUCGCCUGUGACGAAGCGUGAGUGACGGUAAUGGGUAAAGAAGCACCGGCUAACUACGUG
rnacentral:rRNA from 1 species